GCGCCGUUAGCUCAGUUGGUAGAGCAGCUGACUCUUAAUCAGCGGGUCCGGGGUUCGAGCCCCUGACGGCGCACCA
rnacentral:tRNA from 55 species